AUCCAUUAACAACGGGGCGACGAUUUCCACGCAGUGAAAACGCGGUCGCCGACCCCUUGGCUUGGUUUUCCACGCGGCCAAUUAUUUAAUGAAAAGCAGGGCGCAUCGGUCCUUGUGCAUCAGUACCGUAAAUGUCCAUAUCUCAAUCUCCUUUCUCAUGAAAUCGAUAUCAAUUGUAGCGCCAAUUCCUGGGUGAGUAACUUGAUGAACUUUGUGCUUCGAAGUUUUCUUUCCAUUUUAUUUGUUUGUUCUUCUCUUCUUCUUCUUCUUCUUCUUCUUUUCUUUUUUUCCUCUAUUUCUAUCCUCGUACACCAAAUCGUGGAUCCAAUUGACGAAGUUUCCCAGGUUGCAAGGUCGAUCGUGUUACUCGCAUCGAACUUCUUACGAAAUUAGCCUCGCUAUCGGGAUACGAGCUAUUUUCGCUUGUGACUCACGAAUGAAACUUAUUCGUUUGAAUUUUCAGUUCAUGCCUUCUCUCCCUCCCCUCUUUCUCUCCAACUUAAUGGAAAACUUGCGAAAUGAACUCGAACCGCUUUCGAUAUCAACGAAACGUUCCAAAAAUUGUAACCGUACGCAUCGUUCGAUUUUAUCCCGAAACAAAGACUUUUAACUUUGCGUAAGAUUUUUUUUCAAUAAAAACCUUAAUUCUUUUUCGAUGAAAACCACCAAAGUUAAAUUAACAGACAUUAUCGCAACAAAGAUAAUGAAUUCUCUCUCCCCCUCUCUCUCUCUCUCUCUCUCUCUGGCCUGAUUGGCCUGGACUCGAUGCAUUGUAACGCACAGUCGCGAUAAUAGAGAGCAUUGGUAAUUGCGAUUCGAUUGAUUCGUCCCUUCGUGGCUUCGUUCAUCGGUUCGUUGGCCUCGAAUCAAACCCGGUUAC